CUGUAUGAAUGGCAUAACGAGGGUUUAACUGUCUCCCUCCCCCAGUCAAUGAAAUUGAUCUGCCCGUGCAGAAGCGGACAUAAACACAUAAGACGAGAAGACCCUAUGGAGCUUUAGACAAAAGAUCAAACAUGUAAAGAAACCAAACCAACCAAAAGGAACACAAAGGCCACAAAACCCAACGUAAAAUGAUCAAAAUGUCUUCGGUUGGGGCGACCAUGGGGGAAAGAAAAGCCCCCACGAGGAACUAAGGGCAAUCCAUUAAGCCAAGAGAUACACCUCUAAGCAACAGAAAAUCUGACCAAAAAUGACCCAGGACACUAAUCCUGAUCAACGAACCAAGUUACCCUAGGGAUAACAGCGCAAUCCUUUCCCAGAGUCCAUAUCGACGAAAGGGUUUACGACCUCGAUGUUGGAUCAGGACAUCCUAAUGGUGC
rnacentral:rRNA from 1 species